AAAGCGUGGCUAUCAGGGUAUAAUUACUGAUACCUGAUAGCCACCUCAUAUUAUAACUUUCAGAUAACCUAGUGCCACAAAUUAUAGAUAACUUGACGAAAAGUAGGCUGGCAAUAAGUGUUAAUCUACAAGUUAUCGUAAAGUUAUGGUCAACUUUUCUUCAACGAAUUGUAUUGAAACAA